GUGGAAGCACAGCAAUGUGUGGAGCUGACGAAUACUAAUCGGUCGAGGGCUUAUCCUA
rnacentral:rRNA from 1 species